AGUACUUUAUGUGUUUGUUCAACUAGUGGAUAAAGGCAUGAAAGUCAGGUGCAAAAAUAAAUCCUCUUUUGCAACCCUGAACUCGUUGUUCACUGUGAGUUUUGAUAUAUAAAAGAAGGAAUGUG
rnacentral:snoRNA from 1 species